rnacentral:rRNA from 1 species
AUGACGCUGAUUCCUCUUGCUCGAGCGGAUCGAGAGUUCAAGGGCGAGGCACAGGGGCGGCUCAGCUUGAAUCCGGCGGCGGCGACUUUGGUCAGAGGAGAUUCGGCGGGGCGGCGCUGUUCGGAACGGGUCGCGGCGGAGCGCAUAUCCGGCGGCGGCGAGCUUGGUCGGACGAGAUCCGGCGGGGCGGCGCUGUUCGGAUCGACGGCGAGCUUCGUUCAUGUUCACCGGAGAGAGAGAGAGAGAGAGAGAGAGAGAAAUGAGAGCAAGAGGGAGCUCGGGAUGAGAGGAAAGGAAAUGCUGCCAGUUACAGGAGGUUCAAUGAUUUCAGGGGGGCAAUGGACUAUUCUGCAUAAAGGAUGCGAUGAAGACCAGGAAUGGGGGCUUAACAGGUCGUUCGACAAGAGUGUCCUUCUCUGGCACAUCGCAACGGACUUGUGCUUCUAUCAAAAGCCUGAGAUGUUGUUGCCUAGUGCGAGACGAAAUCUGUUUAAGGAUGCUAAUGCUGAACUGGAGGAGCUUCUCAAGGAUGACAAGGCAUCAGUGAUGGAGAUCCUCAAGGGAAAAGGGACAUCGCCUGAGGAGAUUGAGGAAGGACUUGUGGACAGAAUAAUUGUCAAGUUGCGGCAGACAGAAUGCAGAGAAGAAGUUGCAGGCUGCACAGAAUUGCCACCGGAUGCAGAGAAAUGUCCAGCUGUGUCGAGGAUUCCUACACACCAAGAGUUUGGGCACCGGCGGGGAGCUGCUCUCAUACAACUGGCUCUUGCUGUCACACAUGGGGAUGGAGACCUUGUCGGAGAGGGUUGUCACACCGGCAUCAUCAGGACCUGGUGCGGUGGACGUGUGAUUCGAUGGGCCCCGCUGCCUACUGGCACGGACCCACCUAAAUCCCCCUUCUCCAAGUCUCGAUCUCAUCCCCCUUCCCCUCUCCGAUCCCUUUGCAAGGAUGAGCUCGUGACAUACUGCCGCAUCAAGUUUUCAUGCUGGUCAAAAAAAAAAAGAUACCUAGGAGCGAAAAAACAUGACCCUUGGAACGCCGGAGCCCUCAUGAAGAUGCUGGUGCUGGGUUAUCUACCUCUCGACCUCAAGAAAUACAACCAGCUGAAUAAUCUGAGAAAUCAUUAUCUCUGUGGUGUUCAUACAUGGAAACAGUCCUGUGUCUGUAUCAUAACCCAUGUGCCGUCUAUUUCCUUAGCUUCCUUACUCGGAGGGCUCCUCCUUUGUGCAGAGCUUUGA